UGUCGAUGUUGAGUCGUUCGGGCCCAGGCUAAUGUUGAGUCGAGCAGGCUCGGGCCGAUGUCGAAGCGAGCAGGCCCGAGUUGAUGUAUAGUCGUUCUGGCCUGACCGUUGUCGAGUGGAUCGGGGCGGGACUGAUGUCGAGCCAAGCAGUGUCAGGCCCAUGUCAAGCUGAGCAGUCCCGACCCGAUGUCGAGUUGUUGGGCCGAUGAGUCAUCCGGGCCUGGGCGAUGUUGAGUCGUACAAGGCCAGGGUGAUGUCGAUUCAUUCGGGCCUUGGCCAAUUUCUAGUCGUUCUAGCUCGGGCUGAUGUCGAGUCAUCUAGGCCCGGGAUUUCAAGUGGUCCAGGUUAGGGCCGAUGUUGAGCCGAGAUGGCCCUAGUCAAUGUCGAGACAAACAGUCCUGAGCCCAUGUUGAGUUGGCCAGGUCGAUGUCGAGCCGAACAUUCCUGAGCCCAUGUCAAGUCGAGCGGGCCUGGGCUAAUGUUGAGCAAUCUUAGGUCAAUGUCGAGCAGAGCGGGCCCGGGCUGAUGUCGAGUCGGUCGGGCCGAGCUAAUGGUGAGUUGAGCAAGCCCAAGCUGAGCGGGCCCGGGGCGUUGUUGAUUCGUUCGGGCCCAGACUAAUGUUAUCCCAUAUCGAUGUUGAGCUGUGUAGGCCGGGCGAUAUCGAGCCAAGCGGGCACAGGUCCAUGUUGAGUCAAGCAGGCUCAGGCUCAUGUUGAGCUGAGCAUACCCGAGCCCAUGUUGAGUCGAGCGGGCCUAGGCUGAUGUGAGCUGAGCAAUCCUGGUCAAUGUCAAGUUGAGCAAUCCUAGAUCGAUGUUGAGUUGUGUAGGUCGGGCCGAUGUCGAGUCGAGCAGGCUCGAGCCCAUGUCGAGUUGAGCAGGCCUGGGUCGAUGUCGAGUGGAUCAGGUCGGGUUGUUGCUAAGUUGAGCUAGAUCGGCCCAGGCCGAUGUCAAGUCAUUCGAGCUUGGGUCAAUGUUGAGUGUAUAAAGCCAAGGCAAUGUCGAUUCGUCCAGGCCCUGUUCGAUUUU
rnacentral:lncRNA from 1 species